CGCCAACAGUUGCCAGCAUGUCCUCCGGGAUGUGGGGACACUGUUGGGACCGCCGUCUAGCUAAAGAGGAGGAAGGAAUGGGCAACGGUAGGUCAGCAUGCCCGAAUUAUCCGGGCUACACGCGGGCUACAAUGGUCAGGACAAUGGGCAUCAACACCGAAAGGUGAAGGCAAUCUCUUAAACCUGUCCUUAGUUCGGAUUGUGGGCUGCAACUCGCCCACAUGAAGCUGGAACCUGUAGUAAUCGCGUCUCAAAAUGGCGCGGUGAAUAUGUCCCUGCUCCUU
rnacentral:rRNA from 1 species